GGACAGGUACAUUUCUGAAUGGUAGUCUAGUAUACGACUACUCCCUUACUCAGAUGCUACCUUCGGACAGGUACAUUUCUGAAUGGUAGUCUAGUAUACGACUACUCCCUUACUCAGAUGCUACCUUCGGACAGGUACAUUUCUGAAUGGUAGUCUAGUAUACGACUACUCCCUUACUCAGAUGCUACCUUCGGACAGGUACAUUUCUGAAUGGUAGUCUAGUAUACGACUACUCCCUUACUCAGAUGCUACCUUCGGACAGGUACAUUUCUGAAUGGUAGUCUAGUAUACGACUACUCCCUUACUCAGAUGCUACCUUCGGACAGGUACAUUUCUGAAUGGUAGUCUAGUAUACGGCUACUCCCUUCCUCAGAUGCUACCUUCGGACAGGUACAUUUCUG
rnacentral:lncRNA from 1 species